AGCAUCAUUGGUGGAUUUGGGUGAGAAUUGCUCUGAGCCAUGACCCAUAGAAGCCAAAUCCAUUGUGGUUUUGAGGUGUGAAGCUUGGCUCCUAUU